CGGGAAGGGUUUCGGCCCUAGUACCGCGGCAGACGAGUGAGUAACACGUGAGUAACCUGUCCCCGGGUCUGGGAUAACUACCCGAAAGGGUAGCUAAUACCGGAUAAAGUCACCGGACGCAAGUUCGGUGAUGAAAGGGGGCCUCUGCAUAGCAAGCUCCUGCCUGGGGAGGGGCUCGCGGCCCAUCAGCUAGUUGGUGGGGUAAUGGCCCACCAAGGCGACGACGGGUAGCCGGCCUGAGAGGGUGGUCGGCCACGCGGGCACUGAGACACGGGCCCGACUCCUACGGGAGGCAGCAGGGGGGAAUCUUGGGCAAUGGGCGAAAGCCUGACCCAGCGACGCCGCGUGGGGGAAGAAGGCCUUCGGGUCGUAAACCCCUGUUCUGGAGGAAGAACCCAGGGUAGGUGAAUAACCUAUCCUGGCUGACGGUACUCCAGGAGAAAGCCACGGCUAACUGCGUGCCAGCAGCCGCGGUAAUACGCAGGUGGCGAGCGUUGCCCGGAAUUACUGGGCGUAAAGGGUGCGUAGGCGGCCGGACAAGUCAUAGGUUAAAGCCCGGAGCUCAACUCCGGAAAGGCCUAUGAUACUGUCUGGCUUGAGGGCCGGAGAGGCUGGCGGAAUUCCCGGUGUAGGGGUGAAAUCCGUAGAUAUCGGGAGGAACACCGGUGGGGAAGCCGGCCAGCUGGACGGUUCCUGACGCUGAGGCACGAAAGCGUGGGGAGCAAACCGGAUUAGAUACCCG
rnacentral:rRNA from 1 species